AAAGUAAGAUGUCCUAUCGCAUUUUUUUUUGAAAAAAUGAGGAAAGUCCGGACACCAUAGAGCAGUACAAUGGGUAAUUCCCAUCCACCAAAAGGUGAGGAAUAGUGCAACAGAAAGAAAGUACAGGAAAGCUGUAGUGAAAUCAUGUAAACUCUGUACGGUGAAAUGCCAUGUAUACCGGAUAAUUUGCUCGGUUUGUACCGGGGGGUCGGCAGAUAGAGAUAGUGGGGAACUACCAUCCUAGAUAAAUGAUAGGUAUAAAAACAGAAUCCGGCUUAUAGUCUUGCUUUCAUG
rnacentral:RNase_P_RNA from 1 species